UCUUAUCUCACCAUGGAUAUGAGAAGUUGAACAGGAAGACAAAAUAAAGAGGAACAAAGAGGCCUACACCUCAGAGGCAAAGGUGAAGGCUGUAUCCCAGUGGCUUUCAGAAGCUCAUGGCUCAUGAGAGGUGAGGCAGAUCAAUGACAACAAAUCUAAUUCACGACCUUUUCUCUCAGUGUACUUUUUUCUGUUCUGAUGGGGACUGGCUACACACAGUGAGGGACGUUAGGGUGAAGUGAAGGUUUCAGUAUCCCAUGGCAGAAAUAAGUAGAGAGUGAUAUUAAAAAAUUCCUGCUAAGUACAACAUUUUCUUUCUCACCACCUAGGAUGAAUGAAUCUUACCUAGAGUAAAGGGGAGAUGGUAAAGAAGAUGCCAGAGAGGAGCAAGAACAGGUUAUGAGAGUACACAGCAAGAGGCAGCCACCUGCAAGCGAAGAGGCCUCCGAAUGAAAUCUGCCUUGCUGGCACCUCAAUCUUGGACUUCUCAGCCUCCAGAACUGUGAAAAAUCAAGUUCUGCUGCUGAAGCCACUCACCCGGGACAGCUCAAUCCAACAAAGACCAAUGGUAAUCUUCAUCAACAUGGGUAUCACCCUCAGUGAUCUAGGUAAUCAUCAACAUGGGCAUCACCCUCAGGGAUCCAGGUAAUCUUCAUCAACAUGGGCAUCACCCUCACCAAUGUGGCAUCAUUCAAUCUGUUGAGAGACUGGUAGAAUAAGACAGAGGAAAGGCAAAUUUGAUCUCACAGUUUGAGCUGUGCCAUCCAAUUUCUCCCACCCUCAGACACAGGUGCUCGUAGUUCGUGGGCCUCUGGACUCAAACCAGGACUUACACCAUCAGUUUUCCUAGUUCCCAGGCCUUUGUACUCAGACUGAAUUAUAGCACUGGCUUUUCUGGGCCUCCAGCUUGUAGAUGUCAAGUUGAGGAACUUCUCAGCCUUCAUAAUUGCAAGAACCAAUCCUUCAUAAUAAAUCUCUCUAGAUAUCUCUAUAUAUCCUAUUGGUUCUGUUUCUCUAGAUCAAUCUCACAGAAUGGGUCACUAUAAAACCUGCUUUAAUGCUUCAGUGCAAUUGUAGAUACACGAAAGUAAUGAAUAAGUGGUUCCUUGAAAGCUGUCAUUAAUACUUGGAUCCAAAGGUCAAGAGGUGAUUGAUUUCCCCAGUUAUACAUUGGUAUUGAUAUUAAUAUUGACGUGGAUGUUACUCUAUGGCAGAAGCCUUUGUUUACCUCCAGGAAUUGAAGAAAAGUGAAAUAUGAGUGUCCCAAGUCCAUCUGACUAAAAAAAAAAAAAAAAAAAGCAAAUCCUGAAAAGCCAGAAAAAAUGUUCAUUGUACUAGUCAAUAUUUCAGCCCAGACUGGCUGGUAAAGUUAUAAAAUUGUCAUGCCUUCUAGUGUUUCAAUUUGAAGUUUUCCUUUGCCCUCUUGGUCCUAUUCCUUAUCCAUCUCAACCAAGUCUUUGUGGAAAAUUAUACUCUGUGGCUCUAAUAAUGGUCAAUAUUUAAUGAGCCCUUAUUAUGUGUCUGACUUAAGCAUAUUUUAACUCUCUGCCAUGAUAAUGCUCGUAAUUACUCUAUUAUCUUACUGUCUCUUUAUGCAGAUACAAAAUCUGAGGGGCCAAUGACAAUUAAUCAAAUGACACAGCAAAUCUUAGAACACACAGCAAAUAUAUCAUGAGACCAAAAUUCUUAAUAAAAGUUCAUAGGCUCUUGAUCUCUAUUUUAUACUUGUAUUUGGGACCCCAGAAAAAGUAAUUGAAUAGAUAUACCUAUGAUACUAAGAGAUUGAC
ensembl:lncRNA